AAUACUAUAUAUUUUCGUCUUCGUAUAAUUUUGGGAAUAUGGCCCAUAAGUUUCUACCAGGUUACCGUAAUUAACCUGACUACGCUGACCUCUUAAUCUGAG
rnacentral:ncRNA from 1 species